GAUGAACGCUGGCGGCGUGCCUAAUACAUGCAAGUCGAGCGAACGGACGAGAAGCUUGCUUCUCUGAUGUUAGCGGCGGACGGGUGAGUAACACGUGGAUAACCUACCUAUAAGGCUGGGAUAACUUCGGGAAACCGGAGCUAAUACCGGAUAAUAUUUUGAACCGCAUGGUUCAAAAGUGAAAGACGGUCUUGCUGUCACUUAUAGAUGGAUCCGCGCUGCAUUAGCUAGUUGGUAAGGUAACGGCUUACCAAGGCAACGAUGCAUAGCCGACCUGAGAGGGUGAUCGGCCACACUGGGACUGAGACACGGUCCAGACUCCUACGGGAGGCAGCAGUAGGGAAUCUUCCGCAAUGGGCGAAAGCCUGACGGAGCAACGCCGCGUGAGUGAUGAAGGUCUUCGGAUCGUAAAACUCUGUUAUUAGGGAAGAACAUAUGUGUAAGUAACUGUGCACAUCUUGACGGUACCUAAUCAGAAAGCCACGGCUAACUACGUG
rnacentral:rRNA from 1 species